rnacentral:misc_RNA from 1 species
UUUGACAACAAAUGCAGACAAUAAUAAUAUGGAGCAGUGACAUAUACAUACAAAUUGAGAACUGAAAGGCAAGAACAAGUUUAUGUACUGCAUUCCAUAGAAAUAAAAUAGAACUAAGUGAGCUAGUUAUCUUGAUAUUAGCACAUCUAUCAAUUCCUCAUGUCAACAACUAUGGCAAAUCUGAUAUGGGGCUAUUAAUAUCAUCAAAGCAGGCGCAGCUUCCCGGUCACUGAAUCUACGGCUGACUUGCUUCCUGGUCCAACUGCAAGAACUGUCCUUGAGCCUGAUGCGACCUGUGUACGUCCCGCAUCAGCAACAACAAAAGUUGGAAGCCCAAUGUCCUCAGCUGCUUCCUUCAACUUAUUCAUUUCUUGCUGAUUCUUGCAGGUAACAACUAUUUUGGGCUGUCCACAUUGCUCCCAUCGCCUCAAAAGAUACCGAUCACUUUGCAUAAGGUCUGCAUACAUGCCAGUAGCAGCAUGAGCACACUGAGAUGCAACUUUUCCUUGUGCCAUUUUCAGGUCUUGUCUGACAACUAAUACCAUUUUGAGCUCUUCAUCAGCCUUAGCUGGGGUUAAAAUCUUUUCAGGUUGAUUUCUGUUCAACAAAUUACUUGUCUUCUUCAAAGUAUUACUUUUGGAGGGUUUUGACAAAUCCAACAACAACCCAAUAAUGAAACCAAUUACAACUCCUGGAAUAAAAUUCUCUGGCUUGAAACUUGCACCUAACCAUUCUUUUUCCUCCUUCUGCUUCUUUGUAGAAUUGGAAGUGCUAUCGAAGAUACGCAUUGAG